rnacentral:RNase_P_RNA from 1 species
GAAGCCUGCCAGACUGCCGCUGGUGCAUCUCUGGAAACAGGGCACUGGAGGAACGUCCGGACUGCGUAGGGCAGCGUAGCAGCUAACAGCUGUCCACUGAAAGCCGGGUGCGCAAGCGCACGGUACAAGGUGAGGAUCAGAGCAACAGAGACGAGUCGCCGCCGGGCAACCGGUGGCGGGUGAAACGGGCAAUCUCUACGCGCAGCAAUACCAAGUAGGCACACGCAAAGCGUCGCGGUUCGCCGCAGCGCCAUGACCGGGGCCCCCGGAGUGUGCGGGUAGGUAGCACCGAGCUGCUGGGUGACCAGCAGCCCAGAUUGAUGGCAGUCACGCGGCGGGCAACCGCCGUGCACAGAAUCCGGCUUAUCGGUAGGCUUCACAU